rnacentral:rRNA from 1 species
UGACGCAGACCCGAAACCAAGUGACCUACCCAUGACCAGGUUGAAGGCGCGGUAAAACGCGCUGGAGGACCGAACCCACGUAAGUUGAAAAUUGCGGGGAUGAGUUGUGGGUAGCGGUGAAAUUCCAAACGAACUUGGAGAUAGCUGGUUCUCUCCGAAAUAGCUUUAGGGCUAGCCUCGCAAAGAGGAUGCUGGAGGUAGAGCUCUGUUUGGACUAGGGGCCCGUCAAGGGUUACUGAAUUCAGAUAAACUGCGAAUUCCAGACAUUUAUGUGCGGGAGUCAGACUGCGAGUGAUAAGAUCCGUAGUCGAAAGGGAAACAGCCCAGAUCACCAGUUAAGGUCCCAAAAUUCAUGCUAAGUGGAAAAGGAUGUGGAGUUGCGCAGACAACUAGGACGUUGGCUCAGAAGCAGCCAUCAUUCAAAGAGUGCGUAAUAGCUCACUAGUCGAGUGACGCCGCGCCGAAAAUUUACCGGGGCUAAGCAUGAUACCGAAACUGUGGAUGUGCAUUUAUGCACGUGGUAGGAGAGCGUUCUAGCGGCGGUGAAGCAUGACCGAGAGGACAUGUGGAGCUUCUAGAAGUGAGAAUGCCGGUAUGAGUAACGAAAGACAGGUGAGAAUCCUGUCCGCCGCAAGACUAAGGUUUCCUGGGGCAGGCUCGUCCGCCCAGGGUAAGUCGGGACCUAAGGCGAGGCCGAGAGGCGUAGUCGAUGGACAACAGGUUGAAAUUCCUGUACUGCACCGA